GAUGAACGCUGGCGGCGUGCUUAACACAUGCAAGUCGAACGAUGACGCCCAGCUUGCUGGGUGGCUUAGUGGCGAACGGGUGAGUAACACGCGAGUAACCUGCCCUUAACUCUGGGAUAAGCCUGGGAAACUGGGUCUAAUACCGGAUAGGAGCGUCCACCGCAUGGUGGGUGUUGGAAAGAUUUAUCGGAUUUGGAUGGACUCGCGGCCUGUCAGCUUGUUGGUGAGGUAAUGGCUCACCAAGGCGACGACAGGUCGCCGGCCUGGGCGGGGGACCGGCCACACUGGGAUUGGGACACGACCCAGACUCCUACGGGAGGCAACGGUGGGGAAUAUUGCACAGUGGGCGCGAGCCUGAUGCAGCGACGCCGCGUGGGGUAUGACGGCCUGCGGUUUGUAAACCUCUUUCAGUAGGGAAGAAGCGAAAGUGACGGUACCUGCAGAAUAAGCACCGGCUAACUACGUG
rnacentral:rRNA from 1 species